rnacentral:rRNA from 1 species
AGCGUACACGGUGGAUGCCCUGGCAGUCAGAGGCGAUGAAGGACGUGCUAAUCUGCGAAAAGCGCCGGUAAGGUGAUAUGAACCGUUACAGCCGGCGAUGUCCGAAUGGGGAAACCCAGUGCAAUUCGUUGCACUAUCUCAGCAUGAAUACAUAGUGCUGUGAGGCGAACCGGGGGAACUGAAACAUCUAAGUACCCCGAGGAAAAGAAAUCAACCGAGAUUCCCCCAGUAGCGGCGAGCGAACGGGGAACAGCCCAGAGCCUGAAUCAGCUUGUGUGUCAGUGGAACGGUCUGGAAAGGCCGGCGAUACAGGGUGACAGCCCCGUACACGAAGGCACACAGGCUGUGAGCUCGAUGAGUAGGGCGGGACACGUGAUAUCCUGUCUGAAGAUGGGGGGACCAUCCUCCAAGGCUAAAUACUCCUGACUGACCGAUAGUGAACCAGUACCGUGAGGGAAAGGCGAAAAGAACCCCGGCGAGGGGAGUGAAACAGAACCUGAAACCGUGUACGUACAAGCAGUGGGAGCCUUCGUAAGAGGGUGACUGCGUACCUUUUGUAUAAUGGGUCAGCGACUUAUAUUCUGUAGCAAGGUUAACCGUAUAGGGGAGCCGAAGGGAAACCGAGUCUUAACCGGGCGUUAAGUUGCAGGGUAUAGACCCGAAACCCGGUGAUCUAGCCAUGGGCAGGUUGAAGGUUGGGUAACACUAACUGGAGGACCGAACCGACUAAUGUUGAAAAAUUAGCGGAUGACCUGUGGCUGGGGGUGAAAGGCCAAUCAAACCGGGAGAUAGCUGGUUCUCCCCGAAAGCUAUUUAGGUAGCGCCUCGUGAACUCAUCUUCGGGGGUAGAGCACUGUUUCGGCUAGGGGGCCAUCCCGGCUUACCAACCCGAUGCAAACUACGAAUACCGAAGAAUGUUAUCACGGGAGACACACGGCGGGUGCUAACGUCCGUCGUGAAGAGGGAAACAACCCAGACCGCCAGCUAAGGUCCCAAAGUCAUGGUUAAGUGGGAAACGAUGUGGGAAGGCACAGACAGCCAGGAUGUUGGCUUAGAAGCAGCCAUCAUUUAAAGAAAGCGUAAUAGCUCACUGGUCGAGUCGGCCUGCGCGGAAGAUGUAACGGGGCUAAACCAUGCACCGAAGCUGCGGCAGCGACACUAUGUGUUGUUGGGUAGGGGAGCGUUCUGUAAGCCUGUGAAGGUGUGCUGUGAGGCAUGCUGGAGGUAUCAGAAGUGCGAAUGCUGACAUAAGUAACGAUAAAGCGGGUGAAAAGCCCGCUCGCCGGAAGACCAAGGGUUCCUGUCCAACGUUAAUCGGGGCAGGGUGAGUCGACCCCUAAGGCGAGGCCGAAAGGCGUAGUCGAUGGGAAACAGGUUAAUAUUCCUGUACUUGGUGUUACUGCGAAGGGGGGACGGAGAAGGCUAUGUUGGCCGGGCGACGGUUGUCCCGGUUUAAGCGUGUAGGUGUGUGUUCCAGGUAAAUCCGGUUCACUUUAACACUGAGGCGUGAUGACGAGGCACUACGGUGCUGAAGUAACAAAUGCCCUGCUUCCAGGAAAAGCCUCUAAGCAUCAGGUAACAUCAAAUCGUACCCCAAACCGACACAGGUGGUCAGGUAGAGAAUACCAAGGCGCUUGAGAGAACUCGGGUGAAGGAACUAGGCAAAAUGGUGCCGUAACUUCGGGAGAAGGCACGCUGACAUGUAGGUGAAGCCCCUGCGGGUGGAGCUGAAGUCAGUCGAAGAUACCAGCUGGCUGCAACUGUUUAUUAAAAACACAGCACUGUGCAAACACGAAAGUGGACGUAUACGGUGUGACGCCUGCCCGGUGCCGGAAGGUUAAUUGAUGGGGUUAUCGCAAGAGAAGCUCCUGAUCGAAGCCCCGGUAAACGGCGGCCGUAACUAUAACGGUCCUAAGGUAGCGAAAUUCCUUGUCGGGUAAGUUCCGACCUGCACGAAUGGCGUAAUGAUGGCCAGGCUGUCUCCACCCGAGACUCAGUGAAAUUGAACUCGCUGUGAAGAUGCAGUGUACCCGCGGCAAGACGGAAAGACCCCGUGAACCUUUACUACAGCUUGACACUGAACAUUGAGCCUUGAUGUGUAGGAUAGGUGGGAGGCUUUGAAGCGUGGACGCCAGUCUGCGUGGAGCCAACCUUGAAAUACCACCCUUUAAUGUUUGAUGUUCUAACCUGGCGCCCUAAUCGGGCGUGGGGACAGUGUCUGGUGGGUAGUUUGACUGGGGCGGUCUCCUCCCAAAGUGUAACGGAGGAGCACGAAGGUCAGCUAAUCCUGGUCGGACAUCAGGAGGUUAGUGCAAUGGCAUAAGCUGGCUUGACUGCGAGAGUGACGGCUCGAGCAGGUGCGAAAGCAGGUCAUAGUGAUCCGGUGGUUCUGUAUGGAAGGGCCAUCGCUCAACGGAUAAAAGGUACUCCGGGGAUAACAGGCUGAUACCGCCCAAGAGUUCAUAUCGACGGCGGUGUUUGGCACCUCGAUGUCGGCUCAUCACAUCCUGGGGCUGAAGUAGGUCCCAAGGGUAUGGCUGUUCGCCAUUUAAAGUGGUACGCGAGCUGGGUUUAGAACGUCGUGAGACAGUUCGGUCCCUAUCUGCCGUGGGCGCUGGAGAAUUGAGGGGGGCUGCUCCCAGUACGAGAGGACCGGAGUGGACGCAUCACUGGUGUUCGGGUUGUCAUGCCAAUGGCACUGCCCGGUAGCUAAAUGCGGAAGAGAUAAGUGCUGAAAGCAUCUAAGCACGAAACUUGCCCCGAGAUGAGUUCU